UGACUGGAGAUGACACAAGUUUCAGAUCCUCCUCCAAGCUCAAAUUCUCCAUAUGCAAACGGAAGAAUGAAAACAUAAGGGGAAAAUAUAACACUGAAAAUGAAGCGCUUUCAUGUCACAAAGAUGUAAUGCCAUUGUAAUGUUUUCAGAGCUAGCAAAGGGAGGAUGCUUCCCUGGUCAUGGUGCUUGGGAAGAGUCGGUUCAUACCUAGGUUCAGCUGCAGACUUCACAGGCAUCUCCAUACCAUUGCACACCAUUAGCUCUCUGAGAUGGUGCAUUAGGACACAGAUGUUGUGUGACUGGAUCUGGAGUGCUCCCCCCGAGGGACUGCAGAAAGGUAUUUAUAGCAUAGGUGUUGAUCCCGUUAGUCCUCUCAGGCAUUUUCUCUGCAUUUGGCCCUGUAUUUCCACCCUCGAUUUCUACCAAAUUCCCAAGAAAAGCAAAAGCAUCAGUCCUGAAGAUGGAAGCACGCACAGAGUGGUGAAAUGCAGUCUGAAAAUGCUCACUUGUGAGUUUGUACACGUGCUGUGUCCCUUGUGAUGGGCAGGGGGCUGAAGACUGCCAGCAGGGGUAGCCCAGCUCCACAGGGUCUUUCUCCUGAAUGCCUCUAAUCAGAAUAUUAACAAUGAAUAGUUUUCACUUAGUGUUCUGCAGAAUGACACUCGCUAAACAUUUUCUCAAACGAUGCUUCAAGGCCCGAGAGGCAUCACUGGAGCUGUUGUUUUCUU
rnacentral:lncRNA from 1 species